rnacentral:rRNA from 1 species
AGUCACGUAGUUUGAUCAGUGGCUCAGUAUUGAACGCUGGCGGAAUGCUUUACACAUGCAAGUCGAACGGUAGAGGGGGCCAACCCUUGAGAGUGGCGAACGGGUGAGUAAUAUAUCGGAACGUCGCCCAGUCGGUGGGGAUAACGUAGCGAAAGUUACGCUAAUACCGCAUACGAUCUACGGAUGAAAGCGGGGGGACUCGCAAGAGCCUCGCGCGAUUGGAGCGGCCGAUAUCAGAUUAGGUAGUUGGUGGGGUAAAGGCUCACCAAGCCGACGAUCUGUAGCUGGUCUGAGAGGACGACCAGCCACACUGGGACUGAGACACGGCCCAGACUCCUACGGGAGGCAGCAGUGGGGAAUUUUGGACAAUGGGGGCAACCCUGAUCCAGCCAUGUCGCGUGAGUGAUGAAGGCCUUAGGGUUGUAAAGCUCUUUUGUCCGGGAAGAUAAUGACUGUACCGGAAGAAUAAGCCCCGGCUAACUUCGUG